rnacentral:rRNA from 1 species
UACGUAGGGUGCAAGCGUUGUCCGGAAUUAUUGGGCGUAAAGAGCUCGUAGGCGGUUUGUCGCGUCUGCCGUGAAAGUCCGGGGCUCAACUCCGGAUCUGCGGUGGGUACGGGCAGACUAGAGUGAUGUAGGGGAGACUGGAAUUCCUGGUGUAGCGGUGAAAUGCGCAGAUAUCAGGAGGAACACCGGUGGCGAAGGCGGGUCUCUGGGCAGUAACUGACGCUGAGGAGCGAAAGCGUGGGGGAGCGAACAGG